CAGCCACGGCCGGAUGUAUUCCAAAUGCGUUUAAAAAGCACGGAAAUCCGGCCUGCAAAGCCCUCUGAUCGGGCUAAUACUUGAGUAACUGGCUAGGCAAUCCCCCCACUGCCUGCCAGAUGAGGUCGCGAGGAUUGCGAUUUCAUACUCCUAAUGGUCUUGGCCCGGCUUCCCUGGAAACCGG
rnacentral:sRNA from 1 species